GCUGAAACGGAGAAGACAAACGGAACGUAGCCAAACAAACCAGAGGACCUGAAAUUAAGUAAUAAAGUUAGUUAGGAAAAGAAAACAUGGCUAGUGGAAAAUCUGAUUGACUGGUAACUUUUAAAUCUACUAGCCAUGUGGCUGGUGAUCACAAAAGUUAAUCUUAAGCCAUGUCUAUACCUAGUACUGAUCCAGAAU